rnacentral:misc_RNA from 1 species
AAAAAAUAUGACUAACGUUUCACGCGACGUCUCCGUGCCUUACCUCCGAAUGGAAGCGCUCUUCUUCAGUCUUGAUAACGACAUGCCUCUCGCUCUCGUUACCCGAAAGCAACCACUGCAGCUGUGUCCCUGAGCUCCCGUAUCUGUUGGUUGCAAAUAUUCUAUUCUAUUGUAGAGAGAGAAAGAAACAAAAGAGUUUUAUCAAAUCUAGACAGAGAAAAAGCAUACAGCAUCAAUAGCCGAAGAAAAAAAAAAAUACCUCCGUAAACUCAAAGCAAUUUCAUUCGUGAGAGAGAGAGAGAG